AGAGAUGUGUGAUGACGCAUAUCAAUAAGCGGAGGAAAAGAAACUAACAAGGAUUCCCUUAGUAACGGCGAGUGAAGCGGGAAGAGCUCAAAUUUGAAAUCUUCAAGGUUCUACCUUGACGAAUUGUAGUUUAUAGAAGUGUUUUCUGUUAGUAGGAGUGGCAAAAGUUCUUUGGAAUAGGACAUCAUAGAGGGUGAGAAUCCCGUAUUUGGUCAUUCCUCCUAGCUUUGUGAUACACUUUCAACGAGUCGGAUUGUUUGGGAAUGCAGUCCAAAAUGGGUGGUAAAUUUCAUCUAAAGCUAAGUAUUGGCGAGGGACCGAUAGCGAACAAGUACCGUGAGGGAAAGAUGAAAAGAACUUUGAAAAGAGAGUUAAACAGUACGUGAAAUUGUCAAAAGGGAAGCGUUUGACACCAGUGUUGUUUUUCCGAAAAUCAAUUACGAAUGUUUUAUUUUUGAGAAGUUAUGACUUCAUCGGCUUGCUCCUUUCUUUAUGAAACUUUCUUAAUGCACUUUUCGGUUAACAAGUCAACAUCAAUUUCUUUUGUUGUAAAAGGGUAUGAGGAAGGUGGCUUUCUUUUCGGAGAAAGUGUUUAUAGCCCUUGUACCUCUGCAAUCGGAGAGAUUGAGGUCUGCAGCGUAGAUCCUUCGGGGUUAGAUACAUUUGUGCUAAGUUAUAGCUUUUCAUUAGACAACUUGUUGACUAUGUUAAGUCUUGUAGCUUACUCGCUUAUGCUAUUUUACCUACGCUUAGGAUGUUGAAGAUGUAGCACAUCAU
rnacentral:rRNA from 1 species